rnacentral:sRNA from 10 species
UUCGCCUUUUCGAGGCGAUCUGCUAAACACAUCCGCGCGCAGGUCCGGCGCUCGAUCGGGCCCACUCCAGAAGGAGUGUCCCAGCGCG